rnacentral:SRP_RNA from 1 species
GCUAGGCACAGUGGCUUGUGUCUGUCAUCCAAGUGUCUGGGAGGCUGAGGCUAGUGGGCUGCUUGAGCCCAGGAGCUCUAGGCUUCAGUGUGCUAUGUUGAGCAAGUGUCCAGACUGGGGUCAGUAUUGGCAUGGAGACUCUGAGGGAGCUUGGAGUCUCCAGGUUGCUUAAAGAGGGGUGAACCGGCCCAGGCUGGAAACAGAGCAGGUCAAAGCUCCCUUGCUGACUGGUAGUGGAACAGCACUUGUAAACAGCUCCUGUGGCCUAACCUGGGCAAGAGAGGGGGACCUAGCCUUUU